UCAAAUAAAAGUUAUAAUUUUUAUGAAUAUGAAAGGAGCAAAACUUAUAGAAUUAAAACUUAUUCCAUCCCUGAUGAAUAUAAGUAUGAAAAUGAAUUAAUAAAGUUUCCGUCUAAAAUGACCAGGUAAUAUAUGUAGCUUAAGAACUAUAUAGCAAGUAAAUGAAAGUCAUUUUAUUCAGAGAACUUCAUGGGAACCUAAUAUCUUUUGAGUAUCUCUUAUAAGAUAAAUGAAACUAGACUAACUUGUAUGAGUCACCAAAUUAAAGGAUAAAUAUGCUAAGAAAACAAAUUCUUUAUUGCAUUAUAAUGAAAAACAAUCUUAUAAACUGUAGGACACUUUGAUCUGGAUGUUUAGUCUGAGGCUAAUGAAAGAACUCAUUCAUCUGAUUUUUUCCAUGGCCUGUCUAGGAUUUCCGGAUACACACUGAGUCUAGAACUGUGGGCUAAAUGGGCAUUU
rnacentral:lncRNA from 1 species